GGGAGAGGCCAGUAUAUCUGUAACUUUGGUAAGUGGUGUGUGCAAUCCAGCAUACAUCUUGGAAGAAGGUUACUGCUAGUCGAGAGGAACAGGUAUCUCAGUUCAUUAUUUUAAUGCUUUUCUAAGUAUGGGAAAAUGCAAGAAUUGGGGUUCACAAAAAUGUUCCUAUCAUAUCUAGCUAUCUAAGGGUCUGUUUUGCCUGUUUUCUCAAAGCACAGUGGUUCACCCUGUUCUUCAUCCUGAAUUUCUUUCAGGGUGUAUUGUAGGUCAGUGCUGAGGACUUACUCUAGAAGAUUUGUGAAACUGGAUGAAAUUGGAGGUGAUGUAUGUAAGAGUUCCUGAGAGUCGUGGUAGAACAUCUUAUAUCUCAAGGCACAAGGAGAGAAAUGCAAGCUCCUCCUAGAAGGACUUUUGUUCCCCUAGGUUCAGAAUUUUGAAAAGAUGUUUUAUCAAAGCAAUUUCUUUAACUAUGCAAAAACCAGUUUUGGAAUGUGAAACAACCCCAUCUUGGCCAUUUCAGGGUUUCCUUGAGUUCCCAAUUAAAUAAAUACUUAUGGAAGUAUUUGUUGGCUCCUCUU
rnacentral:lncRNA from 1 species